rnacentral:rRNA from 1 species
CAGCAGCCGCGGGAAUACCGAGGGUGCAAGCGUUAAUCGGAAUUACUGGGCGUAAAGCGCGCGUAGGUGGUUUGUUAAGUUGGAUGUGAAAUCCCCGGGCUCAACCUGGGAACUGCAUCCAAAACUGGCAAGCUAGAGUAUGGUAGAGGGUGGUGGAAUUUCCUGUGUAGCGGUGAAAUGCGUAGAUAUAGGAAGGAACACCAGUGGCGAAGGCGACCACCUGGACUGAUACUGACACUGAGGUGCGAAAGCGUGGGGAGCAAACAGGAUUAGAUACCCCGGUAGUCCCUGUCUCUUAUAC